rnacentral:rRNA from 1 species
ACGUUCAUCCCUUGACGGUAUCUAACCAGAAAGCCACGGCUAACUACGUGCCAGCAGCCGCGGUAAUACGUAGGUGGCAAGCGUUGUCCGGAUUUAUUGGGCGUAAAGCGAGCGCAGGCGGUUUCUUAAGUCUAAUGUGAAAGCCUUCGGCUCAACCGAAGAAGUGCAUUGGAAACUGGGAGACUUGAGUGCAGAAGAGGACAGUGGAACUCCAUGUGUAGCGGUGAAAUGCGUAGAUAUAUGGAAGAACACCAGUGGCGAAGGCGGCUGUCUGGUCUGCAACUGACGCUGAGGCUCGAAAGCAUGGGUAGCGAACAGGAUUAGAUACCCUGGUAGUCCAUGCCGUAAACGAUGAUUACUAAGUGUUGGAGGGUUUCCGCCCUUCAGUGCUGCAGCUAACGCAUUAAGUAAUCCGCCUGGGGAGUACGACCGCAAGGUUG